CUUGUACGUGCUCUCUCUCUCAAAAUAAACAAAAAUUAAUAACAAAAAUAGAAAACUGAGUUUGUAAUUCUAACAGCUGUGCCCCAGUUGUCUGUGGGAUGUCGGCACAUCAGGUGGUGACUGCAGGCUGGUGGGUGAGGAGGACGGGGUUCCUUGUGCAUCCCCUUCUCCGCCUGACUUGGAAAUAAGCACGGUUGCCCUGGAGAGCUGGCGGGCGCGGGCACGGCGUGCCUGGUAAGGAGCAGCCGAGGAGGACGAGCCUUGCCUGCCGGCAAGCUGGAGGAGCAGACGUGCUGGGGUCUGCACUUGACUCUGGGGCCCUGGCCCUGGACGUGUGCCCGCUCCUUGACUGCAUUUCCCCUUCGUGAAGACUCCCGGUGACCCUUAGCGGGGCACAGGUUCUUAACCUGCGCCUUGGGGGGGGUGAGAGUGUCUGUUGGCAUUGCCGAGAAACCGCGGGGGUUGAGGGUCUCUUGUGCUUCACGCCGGUGGCAGUACCUGCAGAGUCGGAUCUGUUCUCGCCAGUUUGUAAUAAUGCGCUGCCGUUAACCUUGGAUUUCUGAAACUGUUUCAGCACCCAGGCAGAGGGAUCGAUGUCCGAAGAAGAAAGAUCUGGGACGUGUAUGGACCGCAGACUUGCUUAGAGGUACUGGCUUUGUUCACUUGCUUGAGCCCAGCGGGUUGUCCCCCGGUGACCCUUGUUUUGCCGAGUGUCCAGGGGCCUGGUGCGUGUUACCCAGUCCUCACACGGGGCCAGGUGUCCAUCCCCUGUUGUCCCCGCCGCCGGCAGGGCAGGACACACGCAUAUCUGUUUGUCCCACCUCCUGUUCUCGACUGUGUUUUUGGAUGACAAGUUACGUUAUGUAAAUCUUUGUGCAGAAAUCUUAGGUGAUAAACCUUAAUCCACUUAAGACAAAUCUGUCAUAGGCUGAACUUUAAAACUUUUUUUUUUUUUUUUAACAUCUUUUUAUUUUUGAGACAGAGACAGAGCACGAACAGGGGAAGGUCAGAGAGAGGGAGACACAGAAUCCGAAACAGGCUCCAGGCUCUGAGCUGUCGGCACAGAGCCUGCUGAUGUGGGGCUCGAACCCACGAACCGCGAGAUCGUGGCCUGAGCCGAAGUCGGAUGCCCAACCGACUGAGCCACCCAGGCGCCCCUAAAACGUUUUUAAUGAUACUGUCAUGUUGGUUUUCAGAAAGGUUUUCUUUCAAACACUUUCAUUUCAGGAAGAAUUUCGCAUGCCGUAAGAUACGCGUUCAGGAAAACAGAAAAAACUAGAGAUUUGCAUAUUUACCGAAUAUUUGAGUGCCGUCUUCCUGCCAGGCACUCUCAGGUGUUGAUGCACGUGCUGCCCUCACGGGGGUGGGAGGCGCCCCCAGGUACAGCGUGGGUACGGGGAGCCAGCUGUGACGUGUGGAGCAGGGUUGAAGACCUGAGCGGGGCGGGGAGGGCGAGGGUGCCACUGUGGGGCAGGUCCUGCUGUGUGCGUGGUGGCCCCAGGAGGGCCGCCCUGCAGGAGGGCUGGUGGUGAGAAGUCCGGGGAGAGAAGGUCAAAUGCAGCCGGCUGGGGGGCCGCGGACAGGGGCGGCACAUCUGCUCUGAGCCCAUGCCUGUGGGGCCAGGGUGAACCCAGGUCACUCCCUCCUUGCUCUGGAGUAGCUCCCUCGCCCUGCUACCAAUCAGAAUGUGUUCCAAGGGGGAAAGUGACCGGCCCCCUCAGCACUCCCACGUCAGGUGUGGAUGGUGUCGGCAUCUGGUCGAGGCCUCCGAGCUGGCCGGCCGGCGGGGUGCUCAGCGGUGGGGUCCACGCCCUUCGCUCCUCCCCGCCACCCAGCUCUGCUCAGCUGCCCCGGUUGCCUCAAGGCCUUCGUCCUGGACUUAAGUGCAGGGUGGGACAGGACACGGGUUCUCCUCCCCAGAGGGCAGAGUGCCGACAGGACUCUUCAUGUGUUGAUUUCCGGGAGAAGAGCCUGGCGCCCCAGAGCUCACGGCCUCGGCAGGUGCUCUCUCAGCCCUCCCGUGGCCCCGCUGCCCUCGUGAGGCAGGGCUCAGCUCUGUCGUUCCAUCUGCAAAUAGGAAAUAAAAGUGACACCAUUUCUGUAUUUUUCUCUCCGCCUCACUUUUAAAGUUGAGAAUAAUAUUGAAAAAAAUACUGCAAAAGAUAAAAAAGAUUAGCCUCCGGAGGGAGGUUCAUUGCAGGCUUCGCUCAUGUUUUCCUUGUAUGUUUGUGUUUUGCUUUGUGAUGUAAGAAUUUGCACUUGCUUAUACAUUCAUACGUCAAAAUAGGUUAAAACGUUGAGAAAAACCUCAGGUUUGAAGAAAGUUGAGGAACCGGUCGACGGACUUGGGGGGGCUCUGCAGACGUGCAGACAGGUGCACACAGACCAUGCGUCACCUGGUCAGUCAGGCUCUGGGUUUAGUGCGAGGCCGAUGAGCAGAGCCACAGGAGUUACGUGGUUGGUUUCAGAAUUCCCUGUGUCCCUGUGUUCUGUGAAAAAGCAGAAUAAUUUCUUUGGGUAAGAAGUUCAAACAGCAGUUGAACAGGCCCUCUGUUUAGUCGUGACCCCAGGGCAGAGCUGGCUGGCAUGAGGUGCCCCUUGGAGAACGGGGAGAAGGUUCUAGUUCUUUAUUUGAGGUUCCCCAGCACCCCGACUUUUCUGUGGAGGGGGAAACUGCCCCAGCCCGCUCCUUCCAGGCCUGCUCAGAAGGUUCUGGGUUCUCAUCUCAUGUGGAUCUUCUUGUUACACCUGGACCUUCAGUCGUGGUGUCGAGUCCUGCCUGUUCUCAUGUGCGGCGUGAGGCUGGAUGCUGACCACGUUUCUGUUACACCUGCUGCAGGGGAACACAGCCAGAAAGGAGCGUGCUUUUGUUGGCGUGUAUGAGUGUUUGUGUAUAUGUCCUGGUGUGUGAGUCAUUGCCAUGAACAGGGACAGUCCGUACAAUGGCUGAGCAUGAGUUUACAGCUUCUUCCAAAAACCCUAUUUGAUUGUGAGCAAGAGACUGUUAAGAAAAAAACACUAGUUUAAAAAAGUUUUUUUAAUGUUCAUUUACUUUUGAGAGAGAGAGAGAGAGAGAGACAGGGCAUGAGCGGAGGAGGGGCAGAAAGAGAGAGGGAGACAACGGAAUCCGAAGCAGGCUCCAGGCUCUGAGCUGUCAGCACAGAGCCGACGCGGGGCUCGAACUCACUGCGAGAUCAUGACCUGGGCCAAAGUCGGACGCUCAACCGACUGAGCCACCCAGGCACCCCCAAAACACCUGUUUUAAAUAACAUGUCGCACGGAUCACAAAACGUCUUAAUUGUGUUAUGAUGUUGUAUAGGAAGGGGAACUGCUACAAUUUGCUGUGUUCAAGAUGUUGAUGAAACAGGCCUCGAACUGUGAUGAUGGCGGUCGUGAACCGUAAACCACGUGUUUGUUAAUGCAGGCCUUUAAACGGAAAUACACGAAUUUUAAUAUGUGUGUAAAUAGAAGCACAGAUGCUGAAUUUAAGAACCAGAAAGAUUGCAGAAUUCAAAUUCUACUUUUGUAUACAUCACGUCUGCAAAAGGCACGUGGUUCUGUUGUCGUAAGGAACGGCCUCGGACGGGAGUGUUGUCCUAACGUCUUCCCGCUUUGUUCUGGCCGGGGGGUAGCAGGUGUGCCUACUUCCCUCGGGGGGUCGUUCUUCAGUUUUAAAACAAGGAGGAUUUUGAGUGGUCGCGUGUAUCUUUUUUGUCUCCAGCUCUUACCGACAGACCUGCUAUUGGGCCCGGACUUGAAUCGUGGGUGAUGGUCUGCUGCUUAGCAGAAAGAAUAGGGUGUUUAUGUAGAGUUCUUAAAUCACAGAACGAAGCUGUUUUCAGUCUAGUUACAGAGGUUAUCAGAACGGUUAACACGCCUCCGCAGUGGGAUUUUACUUGGCCUCUGAGUGUUUAUAAAAGAUAAUCACGUGAUAGCAGCAUAUUUGCUGUUUCUGCGUAAACUCCGGCAGUUUUUCUGGCCUCACCCCUCACCUUUCACGGGUCUGGAGGUUGUGGGAUGCGUUGUGGCUCUCAGCAGAUCAACUUCAGGCCAGCUUGCUUCCGCUUUCCUGCCCCCGUAUUCUGCCCACGUGGAGACAGUUCCUGUGUCCCCUCUCCUGAUGUUCAUGUAGAGAAACGCUUUUUUUUUUUUUAAGUUUGCUUAUUUAUUUUGAAAGAGAGAGAACAGAGGAGGCGCAGAAGGAGACAGAGAGUCCCCAGCAGGCCCUGCGCUGUCAGCACAGAGCCCGGCUCGAGGCUGUGUGUCACGAACCUUGAGAUCACGACCUGGGCUGAGGUCAAGAGUCGGACGCCUCGCCGACUGAGCCACUCAGGUGCCCUGAGAAGCACAUGGUUAAGGGUCCAAAAGAUUAGUAAUCAGCGUUUUUAGUUUCUCUAGUGACGAUGCUGUAAGUUGCUGUAUUUCAUGCCCCCUGGGCAGACGCGGGCCCUGUGCUCAGGGGACCGCCUGUACCCAUGGGGCCCCGAGGGGCUGAGGUCACCCCAAGCAAGCUGCGGUUCCUUGGGGCCUUUGCCUCAGUAGCUCUGUGCCGCUCUACUAAACGGCGGUCUUAUCUUGUGUUUUUCUUUUAGGAAGGUGCAAUCACACCCAGCGAUGAGACCCUUUUCCCUGACGUUGACUGGGUAAUUGGUAACCAUUCCGAUGAACUGACACCGUGGAUACCUGUGAUCGCAGCCAGGUGAGUAAGUGUCCCGCACAGCAGGGCGGGCGGCGGGAGGGAUUUUGUUGCCUAAACCUCGCUGUCCAGAAGUAGCCACUCGCGGCUGUGGAGCACUGGACACGGAGCUCGUUCGGACUGCGGGGAUGAGAACGUGCCGAACGUGCCGGUUUAGGGUUACGUUCUGACUGCUUCUUAAAAAAACUUUUUAAACGUUUAUUUUUGAGAGAGAGACAGAGAGAGCGUGAGCCAGGGAGGGUCAGAGGGAGAGGGGGAGACACAGAACCCCAAGCCGGCUCCAGGCUCUGAGCUGGCAGCACGAGCCCCACGCGGGGCUCGAACCCAGGAACCGCGAGAUCAUGACCCGAGCCGAAAUUGGGCAACCGACUGAGCCACCCAGGCGCCCCAUCUAACCGCUUUAUUUCACUGUUUGAGACAUGGCCAGAAGACGUCGAAGUACAUCUGGAUAGUGCUGACGAAAGCUGACCAUUUCCGCGGUAUUUCUGUCCGGGGAGACGGGUCGUGUUUUGGAAGUUGUUUUCUGAUAACAGGAGUGAGUGUCUCCAGAGGGAAAAUCUGCCAACACAGGGACGCCUCGUUCACAGAGGGGGGCCGCGGGUCGGCGGGGCCCUUGCGAGCACGCAGCUUGUGGUGGCGGCCCGGGUGUUUCCUGAUCCAGGCGUCUCGUGAGGCGUUGCGGCUCUCGCGGAGCAGCGUGGCCCGCGGAGCAAGUCUUAACGUAACCUUCCUCGUGCCCGCCUCUGAGAUCUCGCUCCCAGCCGAGAUCCCAAAACGCCUCGGGGAGUUCCACGUUUCGAGUCAGUAAGAACAACGCAGCGGAACGCACUUUGUACGGGCAGUUAGGCUCCUGGUCCGUGGGAGGCGUAGACCACGCCGCGCCGUCUCUGGGAGCCGAGCGAGGGACAGCUCGAGCUCGGGCUCCGCUCCGGAACAGCCAGGGGGAGCAGACGCUUCUGCUUCACCGCGGUGCACGAUGGCCACGUGGCUCUGCGCUGAGUGUCUUGUUUUGGGGAUUGUUUUUGAAGGUCUUGUUACAGCUGCCGUUUCUUUGUCCUUCCCUGCUGCUUCUUUGACUUCGUGGGGAAAUACGCCCGGAGGCAGAGCAGGAAGACUCAGUACCGAGAGUAUCUCGACUUCGUGACCGAGGUGGGGCUGGCCUGCGGGUUCCACGUCCAGGAGGACUGCCUGCGCAUUCCCUCCACCAAAAGGGUGCGUCCCGACCGCUUGGGGCGUCCUCGGGGGCCUCGGUGCGGCGUCGGCCUCCGGGGGGAGGGUCCGGGGCCGUGUCGCAGAGCCACAGGGGACCCCGUGACGUUCGCGAGCCCGUGCCGAUCCCGGCAUCUCGGACGCUGGUGGGGGUCAGCGGGCUCGCUCUGUCCCCGCGGCCCCCGCUCUGAAGGCCUUCUGGCGGUUCCUUCCCCAGGCCCGCAGCAGCGCUGCAGGGAGCCCUCAGCGAAUCCUCAUUUCCUUCCCAGAAACCGUGAGUGGCCCUCGGGGACCUUCCCAGAGUGGGCGUCGGCCGGACUCGUGCGGGACGUCCCAAGCUAGUUUGUCCGAGGCCGCUCACCACCUCCGGGGUCCUCGGGUUUCCCGGUCACGGGCCGAACCCGAAGUUUGGUUCCGGGUUCAGAGCGGUUCAACGUCUCGUCCCGCGCUUCAGUAAUUCCGACGUACCUGCGAUGCGGUUUGCCCAGGCAGACGCCGCCCCUGCCGCGGUCUGUGACCGCAGCACCCGUGCCCCCUGAGACCCU
rnacentral:lncRNA from 1 species